UACGGAGGGUGCGAGCGUUGUCCGGAAUCAUUGGGCGUAAAGGGCGCGUAGGUGGCGCAGCAAGCGUGCGGUGAAAGCUCGGGGCUCAACCCCCGAGUCGGCCGUGCGAACUGCUGGGCUCGAGCACUGUAGAGGCAGGCGGAAUUCCUGGUGUAGCGGUGAAAUGCGUAGAUAUCUGGAGGAAUACCGGUGGCGAAGGCGGCAUCCUGGACCCGACAUUGACGCUGAACGGCGAAAAGCUAGGGGGACAAACGGGG
rnacentral:rRNA from 1 species